CUGCAAGGCGCCUUGAUGUAGUCUAAACAAACAACAACAUACAAUUUAUUAACAUCUACUAUCGUCAACUAUUAGGAAUUUAUCAAAACGCGCGCAGGAACAAUCACUUGCGCUUCGUUUGGUAUACAAAGUAAUGCAAUUAAAUUUUUUAUUGAGACAGCCUCAAAUCAAUCUCAGUAAUUUUUUCAAAUCACACAAAAUUUUAUUUAUUAAAUGCUAAAGGAAAAUCAAAGUCACA
rnacentral:misc_RNA from 1 species